UGCAGGACUCUCCACUGACUGAUGCGGAGGUCUAUUAACUGUUGGGGGCAAGGAAAUAAAAAAUAAGGAAGAAAUCUUAAUGCUCUUGGAAGCUGUUUGGGACCCAGAAAGGUGGCAGUAAUGCACAGCAGAGAACACCAGAAAGGUCAGACAAUGGAGGCAAAAGGAAACUGGAUGGCUGACCAAGCAGCCAAGGAGGCAGCUACACAGGAACCACAGUAGGGUGAAGAUUGCUGCAGACAAAACCACCUCCUGAAAAGUAGAAAAGGACACAGACUGGCCACUGAAACUCCCCCUUAAGAAACAAGAAGGAAAAUGACUUCAGCUCAGAGCGUUCUGCGACUGCUGGAGACAACCCUGCUGCUACCAGGACAUCUAGACCAGGUGAAGAUCCAGGACAAUGUCUUUAUAUCACGGGCCCAAUUCUAUGUGAACUUUCACAACCAGUCCAGCUGGGUAUGUGGAGCCCUGCCAAUGUCUGUAAUGGAUGAACUACCCUGGUAGAUAUCACCUUUCCACCAGGGUGAUUUGGCUAAUUUAUGUGACUUUUAUACCUGUUUUUCAAUGGUAUGAUUACUUGGCAGCCAUAUUUGUUCCAUCACUAGAAAUGACAGAUAUCAUGAUGAGGGUGGAAGCUUUAACUUUACCAAACAGGCUUUAUUAAAUGAGAUAAAAACUAUAAACGCACUAAAUACUAAACAAAUACUGAUGGGAAGGGCUGUCAUUCAAAAUAGAAUGGCAUUAGGCAUCCUAACAGCUGCCCAAGGAGGGACAUGUGCUAUCAUAAAAGUAGAGUGUUGUGCAUAUAUUCCUGAUCUCUCUGGUAAUCUGAUAAUGUAACUGCUGCAUUAGAUGAUAUGAGGCAUCAGGUUAGAGCAAUGUCUGAUGAUAAUCUUAUUUUUUGGACUUCUGUUUUGUCUUGGUUAAAAGGGGACUGGUGGAAAAUGUAAUACUAAUCAUAGUUAUUAUACUGCUAUUGCUAAUCUUUGGACCUUGAAUUUUUAAUUGUGUUACUCAGCUUGUUGCAUCCCAUUUAGGAACCAUGUUCCAAGCCCACACCCCUUGAAUACAGUAUUUGCCAAUGACUGAUGCACAUCAGAAAGGAUGAGCAUCAGGAGGAGGGAAUGUAAGGAUGUGGAAAAAGGAAAUAAGGAGCUUGGCAAGAGUGAAGCCAUCUCGCUGCCACCAUCUAUCUUGGUCGACUUAAGGUGACCCAUAUGAAGGCUCUGAGAAAAACAAAGUCAUUAGGACUUGGAAAAUGCCAGGCCCUGAUUGUUCUAAAGAAAUUCAAUAAUAGCUAGAUUGUGCUUGAGGUUAAUCAUUAAAGUAACAAUAUGAGGCAUUCUUUACAUCUAUACACUUUUCUGUACCCUGCAUGUAACUAAAGAUUAAUGUAGCAUGUUAGAUAUGUAAGCAAGGACCCCCAACUUUUGGUUCAGGGUCCAUGAUUGGGAAGUGAUUCCCCGUGGACCUGCUGGCAUAAUAAAGCUAUUCUCCAUCUUC